ensembl:lncRNA
GGGCUUUAUUGGUUUUCUAUGUAACCCGAGGAAUAUUGGCCUCUCUCUCUCUCUUCCUCUUUUCUCUACACUUUUCUUUUCCAUGAGACCGACCAACUCCAGGACAGAGGCCUUUUGCCAUUCGAUCCCUUUACAUGCAACACUCCACUCAAGCCGGCCCCUAAAUUAAGGGCCUGGAAUGAAGAAAAGUUACGUGGCUCAAAAUAGUCUGGAAUUAAAAUUCCCCUCCAGGUCCUCCCCACCAUUCUACGCAAAACAAAGAACUCUCUCACCCCGAGAAAAAAUGGACAUUAAGGUUGAUUAUGCCCAGCUCCCAGCCGGUCCAGCCUCUGGCCGAUCUCCAAAAUUCCUUGCUCCAGCCGUUUAAGAGAUAACUACUCUGAACAACCUUGGAGAAGAACAGGCCCCCUUAAGACAACAGCUUUCCACAUACAUGCCUAUAUGUACUUACUCUUUUCUUGGAUAUGUAUGGAUAAGUAGAUUGGGACAUAUUCAUGGAAUGGAAUCCCAUAUACCAAUGAAAAAGGACAAAGCACAGCUACAUGC